rnacentral:snRNA from 1 species
GUCGCCACAGUGGCACAUAUACUAAAAUUGGAUCGAUACAGAUUAGCAUGGCCCCUGUGAAAGAUGACACACAAAUAGAAGUCGUGGCUUAAUGUUUA